rnacentral:rRNA from 1 species
GAUCAUGGCUCAGGAUGAACGCUAGCUACAGGCUUAACACAUGCAAGUCGAGGGGCAGCAUGACCUAGCAAUAGGUUGAUGGCGACCGGCGCACGGGUGAGUAACACGUAUCCAACCUACCGGUUAUUCCGGGAUAGCCUUUCGAAAGAAAGAUUAAUACCGGAUAGUAUAACGAGAAGGCAUCUUUUUGUUAUUAAAGAAAUUUCGUAUAACCGAUGGGGAGUGCGUUCCAUUAGUUUGUUGGCGGGGUAACGGGCCCACCAAG